GAGUUUGAUCCUGGCUCAGGACGAACGCUGGCGGCGUGCCUAACACAUGCAAGUCGAGCGGAGACAGUGAGUAGCUUGCUAUGAGCUGUUUUAGCGGCGGACGGGUGAGUAACGCGUGAGCAACCUUUCCCAGACAGGGGAAUAACACACCGAAAGGUGUACUAAUACCGCAUAAGACCACGGGAUCACAUGGUUCUGGGGUAAAAGAUUUAUCGGUUUGGGGUGGGCUCGCGUCCGAUUAGGUAGUUGGUGAGGUAACGGCCCACCAAGCCGACGAUCGGUAGCCGACCUGAGAGGGUGAUCGGCCACAUUGGGACUGAGACACGGCCCAAACUCCUACGGGAGGCAGCAGUGGGAAUAUUGGGCAAUGGAGGAAACUCUGACCCAGCAACGCCGCGUGGAGGAAGAAGGUUUUCGGAUCGUAAACUCCUGUCCUUGGAGACGAGUAGAAGACGGUAUCCAAGGAGGAAGCCCCGGCUAACUACGUGCCAGCAGCCGCGGUAAUACGUAGGGGGCAAGCGUUGUCCGGAAUAAUUGGGCGUAAAGGGCGCGUAGGCGGCUCGGUAAGUCUGGAGUGAAAGUCCUGCUUUUAAGGUGGGAAUUGCUUUGGAUACUGUCGGGCUUGAGUGCAGGAGAGGUUAGUGGAAUUCCCAGUGUAGCGGUGAAAUGCGUAGAGAUUGGGAGGAACACCAGUGGCGAAGGCGACUAACUGGACUGUAACUGACGCUGAGGCGCGAAAGUGUGGGGAGCAAACAGGAUUAGAUACCCUGGUAGUCCACACUGUAAACGAUGAAUGCUGGGUGUAGGGGGUAUCGACCCCUUCUGUGCCGCAGUCAACACAAUAAGCAUUCCGCCUGGGGAGUACGGCCGCAAGGUUGAAACUCAAAGGAAUUGACGGGGGCCCGCACAAGCAGCGGAGCAUGUGGUUUAAUUCGACGCAACGCGAAGAACCUUACCAGGUCUUGACAUCCACUUAAACUUACAGAGAUGUAAGGUGUGCUUGCACAAAGUGAGACAGGUGGUGCAUGGUUGUCGCCAGCUCGUGUCGUGAGAUGUUGGGUUAAGUCCCGCAACGAGCGCAACCCUUAUCUUCAGUUACUAACGCGUGAGGGUGAGGACUCUGAAGAGACUGCCGGGGACAACUCGGAGGAAGGUGGGGACGACGUCAAAUCAUCAUGCCCCUUAUGACCUGGGCUACACACGUGCUACAAUGGCCACGACAGAGAGAAGG
rnacentral:rRNA from 1 species